rnacentral:rRNA from 1 species
UACCCGCAGCACAAGUGGUGGUCAUUAUUAUUGGGCCUAAAGCGUCCGUAGCUGGCUUGUUAGAUGCCUGGGUAAAUCGAUGCGCUCAACGUAUCGAAUUCCGGGUAGACCGGCAAGCUCGAGACCGGGAGAGGUGUAGGCUACUCGAGGGGUAGGGGUAAAAUCCUGUAAUCCUUCGGGGAGGACCAGUGGCGAAGGCGCUACACUAGAACGGCUCUGACAGUGAGGGACGAAGCCCUGGGGCGCAA